ensembl:lncRNA
CUCCCUAUAACUGGGGCCCAUCCUGACUGCCACUUCCCUGCACAGAGUGUGGCGCCGAGUGCAGGCAGAAGCGUGACUGCUGGCUGGUACGGGGGUUCUGGUUUUAAUGUCUGAGGAACUUCCGUAACGUUUUCCACGAGGAUAUACCAGCUUACAUUCCCAACAGUGUGUAAAGUGUUUCUUUCUCUCAACCUCCUCGCCAGCGUGUUGCCUUUUGGUUUUUGGAGAACAGACAGACUAACAGGGGAUCUUCCUGCACGAGGGAUCGAAACUGCGUCUCCGGCAGCUCCUGCAUUGCAGGCGAAUUCUUUGCUGGUGAGCCGUUAUGUGACUACCGGGUGUAAACUCUGAGCCUUUGACCCUCCUUUGCCCGUUUUAAACUGGAUGAUUUGGGGAUCUGCCCAAACUGGAUAUUCACUCAUUACUGGGACAAAUAAAAUGUGGGAAUCCUUGUCCAGUAUUGGUUCUAUAAGAAGACAGCUGAUGUCACCACGCCCACAGCCUUCUUUCUGCUCCAGGACACUCUUGACGUCCUCUCCAUGUUUUUUCACAAAGAUGCCCUGAGAACCACAAGUCAGGCUGCUCUGAAAAUCACAUAUCUUACACAGAUGGGAAUUGGGUCCCUGGUCAAUGUCAUCCUUUUCUU